rnacentral:rRNA from 1 species
GACGAACGCUGGCGGCGUGCUUAACACAUGCAAGUCGAACGGAAAGGCCCUGCUUGCCGGGUACUCGAGUGGCGAACGGGUGAGUAACACGUGGGUGAUCUGCCCUGCACUUCGGGAUAAGCCUGGGAAACUGGGUCUAAUACCGGAUAGGAGCCAUUUUUAGUGUGAUGGUUGGAAAGUUUUUUCGGUGUAGGGUGAGCUCGCGGCCUAUCAGCUUGUUGGUGGGGUAAUGGCCUACCAAGGCGGCGACGGGUAGCCGGCCUGAGAGGGUGGACGGCCACAUUGGGACUGAGAUACGGCCCAGACUCCUACGGGAGGCAGCAGUGGGGAAUAUUGCACAAUGGGCGCAAGCCUGAUGCAGCGACGCCGCGUGGGGGAUGACGGCCUUCGGGUUGUAAACUCCUUUCGCUAGGGACGAAGCUUUUUGUGACGGUACCUAGAUAAGAAGCACCGGCUAACUACGUG